UAAAUGGCCGCAGUAAUUUGACUGUGCAAAGGUAGCGUAAUCAUUUGUUUAAUAAUUUUAAACUAGAAUGAAAGGAACAAAGUAUACUAACUGUUAAUUAAAAUUUAACAUAAAUCUUUGGCUGAGUGCAAAAACUUAGAAUAAAAAUAUAAACGAGAAGACCCUGGGAAUUUUAAUAUUUUUAUUGGGAUAAUAUAAAACCAUACUUAGCUAAGCAACAAAUAACAUUAAUAAAAAGAAAUUACCCCAGGGAUAACAGCACAAUAGUCAUUAAGAGACCUAAUCUCAGUGAUUGAUUAUGACCUCGAUGUUGAAUCAUUUGUACAUAUAGUUUGCAGAAGAAUUUUAUUCUCGUCUGUUCGACGAUAGACAUUACGUGA
rnacentral:rRNA from 1 species